UACAGAAGAACUCAUCAGGAUCAAAGUCUGGCCUAAGUAAAUUCCCCCAUGCAGCUUUGAUGUGUCUAAAAGCUAACAUUACAGUAACUUUUCUUUAACAGAGUAGAAAUAGAAGAAAUGGAUAUGUCUGUCACUUUUUACUUAUUAUUAUUAACAACUU